rnacentral:lncRNA from 1 species
AGUUAGUUUUUUUAAGACAUCUAUCAGUAUAUCAACUCGCUCUAAUCACAUUAUAGACCAAUGCGUUAAUCACGCACUUACUAUAAACCAUUAGAGGAGUUAAUUGCUUAUAAAUCUAGAGAUCUCAUCUGAGGUCAUAUCAAUUUUGCUGUAUGCAUACUAAAACACAUUUUCGCGUUUGGCUCAUACAUUUUGAGUCAUCUUAUGUAUAUAAAGGUGUUCAGUAUAGUGAAGUGACCUGUGCUGACAAUUUGGUGCUGAAAUACAGAAUACUGAUGUUGUGGACUUAUGGACUUGUGAGCACAUAGGUGUAAAAAAGACACGCAUUCAAAUUACUCCCUCUCUUUCUAAGAGCUCUCCUUUUUAAUAAUUUGUUCGAACUAGAUUUAGAAGGUUCCAAUGUUGCUUCAAAAUUAUCAUGGACUAUUAUUCGUCCUAAUCCCCUUCCUCAUCAUUGUGGGUGGAGACAAGGACUCAGUGCAAACGGUUCCAAAAGCAUUGUAUGACGAGGUGAAAAAUGAAUUAUCCGAUUUGCAAACAAAAUAUGAGGGACUCGAGAAAAAAGCUCACUCGGCAGAGGAGCUGCAAAAACGAUUCCAAUCACUGAAUGAAGAAUUACACUUGAUAAAAGAUGGACUUUCUGGACAGUCAAAAUUGGUGCAAGAAAGUAUAGAGGGCGUGGCAGAACUGAUCGAACAGAAAUUCAUAGCAGCAGUUCCUGCUCUCAAACCAAUAUAAAUGUGAUACAUAUUUAAUUAAACCUACUUAAUUGGAAUUGCGGUAUUUUUUUUUAAAGAAAAUUAAAGGUUCACACGUUCACUUACUCUAAAACAGGUGCAGGUUCUAUCAAUAGAGUUAGUGAGAACUUUCCGGAUUCGUACCUUUUUCCGUGCAACUCCUGUAAGCGUUUCAAAGAAACCUUCCUACACACGUAUUUCAUAUUCCUUAUACCUAUGAGAAGCGCAUCAGUCUUACGGAAUAAGCACAGCAGACGCACAUAAUUAAUUGAGGGGGGGGGCGAGCAAGUCUGGAAAUUCAUGAUGAUCUCUAUAAAAUCUACAACAUUUUUUCGUUAUUACAAUGAUUUUUUUCACAUUUUAAACCAACGUAUGAGAAAUGUUUAACCAUGAACAGUUGAACACCUCGCCCCCCCCCUCCCUUUUCUCAUUAAGAUUUUGUGGUCACUGAAAUGGUGUAAAAUUCAAAAUGAAAUGAUACAAGAUUUAUAGAUAUCAUGUCGUUUCUCUCACGAAAGAACGUAAUUACAUUUCAACGUUGCCCGAUUUUUCGGCGCAAAGUGCAUUUUUACCAGGCGAAUUUGAAGAAAAUCUGCCUGAAAAUGUCUCUAAUAUUUCUUCUAAUCUCAUGCAAAAAUUAGACAAAUUUUAGACGAAAUGUAUGCAGGUUUGUUCUCGUAAAAAUUGGAUGGUUAGAGUCAAUUUUGCAACCAUGGAAUGGAGUUGCGUUUCUUCGUGCGAGAAGCGAUUUUAUUCCAAGAGAGGCAUAAACGGAGCGAAUGCACAAGGUAAACUUGAAAAUAAAUUUCAACACGUGCGAGUAAAAAUCAGCUUGUUUUGGCAAUGAAUGAUAACUAUUGGAUAAAUAUUCUAUACUGAGUUUAUAAAACAAAGAUUAAAAACAUGACAAUAUUUUAUGCACUAAGGGAGGAUCGAACUGCAUUUGAGGAGCCCGAUAAUGAAGUCAUUAAAAAUAUGAAAGCGCUUUAUCAAUGUUGCAGCAUCUAUAUCUCUUUCUCAUCUCGCAAAACCGUUACCCAGUUUCAACUGUUUAGAGUCGGUGCAGUUAGUGCCCCUCACCUCCUUCAAGUUAGCGUAGUGUAAAACGGAGGAGACAAAAUUCUGCGCAUGUAAAGGCAGAUGUUAGGACGCUGCGAUGAAAGUUCUCUGACACUAAGAACUAAGAAUAUUUAAAAUCUCUUACAUCGUGCAUAGUAGUAUAGCUGUUACCUACAUUUUGACCUCGUUUUUUCGGUCCAAAUGCAAGCUCGUUUUACACUCCUUUGCUGACGUG